AUUGAACGCUGGCGGCAGGCCUAACACAUGCAAGUCGAACGAGUGGCGGACGGGUGAGUAAUGUCUGGGAAACUGCCUGAUGGAGGGGGAUAACUACUGGAAACGGUAGCUAAUACCGCAUACCAUCAGAUGUGCCCAGAUGGGAUUAGCUAGUUGGUGGGGUAACGGCUCACCAAGGCGACGAUCCCUAGCUGGUCUGAGAGGAUGACCAGCCACAAUGGAAAGGGGACAAGGUCCAGAAUCCUAAGGGAGGGAGCAGGGGGGAAUAUUGCACAAUGGGCGCAAGCCGGAUGCAGCCAUGCCGGGUGGAUGAAGAAGGCCUUCGGGUUGUAAAGUAAUUUCAGCGGGGAGGCGUUACCCGCAGAAGAAGCACCGGCUUACUCCGUGCCAGCAGCCGCGGUAAUAC
rnacentral:rRNA from 1 species